rnacentral:rRNA from 1 species
UACGAAGGGGGCUAGCGUUGUUCGGAAUCACUGGGCGUAAAGGGCGCGUAGGCGGCUUUAUAAGUCGGGGGUGAAAGCCUGUGGCUCAACCACAGAAUUGCCUUCGAUACUGUAGAGCUUGAGACCGGAAGAGGUAAGUGGAACUGCGAGUGUAGAGGUGAAAUUCGUAGAUAUUCGGAAGAACACCAGUGGCGAAGGCGGCUCACUGGUCCGGUACUGACGCUGAUGUGCGAAAGCGUGGGGAGCAAACAGG